rnacentral:rRNA from 1 species
GAUGAACGCUGGCGGCGUGCCUAAUACAUGCAAGUCGAGCGAACAGACGAGGAGCUUGCUCCUCUGACGUUAGCGGCGGACGGGUGAGUAACACGUGGAUAACCUACCUAUAAGACUGGGAUAACUUCGGGAAACCGGAGCUAAUACCGGAUAAUAUAUUGAACCGCAUGGUUCAAUAGUGAAAGACGGUUUUGCUGUCACUUAUAGAUGGAUCCGCGCCGCAUUAGCUAGUUGGUAAGGUAACGGCUUACCAAGGCAACGAUGCGUAGCCGACCUGAGAGGGUGAUCGGCCACACUGGAACUGAGACACGGUCCAGACUCCUACGGGAGGCAUCAGUAGGGAAUCUUCCGCAAUGGGCGAAAGCUUGACGGAGCAACGCCGCGUGAGUGAUGAAGGUCUUCGGAUCGUAAAACUCUGUUAUUAGGGAAGAACAAAUGUGUAAGUAACUAUGCACGUCUUGACGGUACCUAAUCAGAAAGCCACGGCUAACUACGUG